rnacentral:rRNA from 1 species
AUUGAACGCUGGCGGCAGGCCUAACACAUGCAAGUCGAGCGGAGCGGCGGCCGGGUGGGUGAUGCCUAGGUAUCUAACUGCUCGUGGGGGAUAACUUACGGAAACGAGCGGUAACACCGCCUACUAUCAGAUGAGCCUAGCUCGGAUUAGCUGGAUGGUGGGGUAAAGGCCUACCCAGGCGACGAUCCUUAACUGGGCUGAGAGGAUGAUCAGUCACACUGGAACUGAGCCACGGUCCAGAGGCCUGCGUGGGGCAGCAGUGGGGAAUAUUGCACAAUGGGCGAAAGCCUGAUCCAGCCAUGCCGCGUGUGUGAAGAAGGUCUUCGGGUUGUAAAGUACUUUCAGCGGGGAGGCGUUACCCGCAGAAGAAGCACCGGCUAACUCCGUGCCAGCAGCCGCGGUAAUAC